GGCUGAAAUUCGCCUUCCAUGAAGCCGGAAUUGCUAGUAAUGGCAGGUCAGCAUACUGCCGUGAAUACGUUCCCGGGCCUUGUACACACCGCCCGUCACACCAUGAGAGUUGGGGAUACCCGAAGCCUGUGAGCUAACUUAACGGAGGCAGCAGUCGAAGGUAGAAUCAAUGAUUGGGGUGAAGUCGUAACAAGGUAGC
rnacentral:rRNA from 1 species